rnacentral:rRNA from 1 species
GACGAACGCUGGCGGCGUGCUUAACACAUGCAAGUCGAACGGAAAGGCCCCUUUGGGGGUACUCGAGUGGCGAACGGGUGAGUAACACGUGAGUAACCUGCCCUUGACUUCGGGAUAACUUCAGGAAACUGGGGCUAAUACCGGAUAGGAAUCCUUGCUGCAUGGUGGGGGUUGGAAAGCUUCGGGGGGUUUGGAUGGACUCGCGGCUUAUCAGCUUGGUGGUGGGGUAGUGGCUUACCAAGGCUUUGACGGGUAGCCGGCCUGAGAGGGCGACCGGCCACAUUGGGACUGAGAUACGGCCCAGACUCCUACGGGGGGCAGCAGGGGGGAAUAUUGCACAAUGGGCGGAAGCCUGAUGCAGCAAAGCCGCGGGCGGGAUGACGGUCUUCGGGUUGGAAACCGCUUUCAGCAGGGGCGAAGCUUGUGGUGACGGUACCUGCAGAAGAAGCACCGGCUAACUACGUG